UACGAAGGGGGCUAGCGUUGCUCGGAAUCACUGGGCGUAAAGGGUGCGUAGGCGGGUCUUUAGGUCAGGGGUGAAAUCCUGGAGCUCAACUCCAGAACUGCCUUUGAUACUGAAGAUCUUGAGUUCGGGAGAGGUGAGUGGAACUGCGAGUGUAGAGGUGAAAUUCGUAGAUAUUCGCAAGAACACCAGUGGCGAAGGCGGCUCACUGGCCCGAUACUGACGCUGAGGCACGAAGGUCAGGGGAGCAAACGGG
rnacentral:rRNA from 1 species